GAGCAUUGAAUGAUCUGAUCUUCAUGCCCAAUUCCUCCGAUUAUAGGGUUUCCAAGCCAUGACCGACAAGCCACCGGUGCUCAAGCCGCCGCUUUCAUCCCAAGACUGGGAUUCUCUAAUCGACGACUUCCAGCACGGCGGUGCUCGCCGCCAAAAAUGGACGGCGGCCCCUCAGUUCCUCUCCUCUUUCCUUGAUCACGCGCUCUCCUUCCUCCUUAAAAAGGACUUCCCUCUCAAAAUCCCUCUCCUUAUAUUCAUGGAAGAGUUUUCGGAAACCUUUUUCACCGACGAGUCCCAUUUGCUCCGCCUCCUCGACGCUCUUCGCUCCGUCGUCCAAGCUCCUUUGGAUGGGAUCUCCGUUACUUUUCUCUUGAAAGAGCAGUUCAUGAUCUCCACCACUUCAAUUUUUAUCUCCAUUGACGCGCUCAACAAGUUCCAGGCGCGGUGCACUGAGGGUUUGGCUGAGUUGCUUCUCACUGUUAUUCAUCGCCCCAACCAUGGAGUGGACCGCCAGACGCGAGCCAUUGCCUGCGAGUGCUUGCGUGAAUUGGAGAAGAGUUACCCAUGUUUGCUCUCUGGUAUUGCUGGCCAUUUGUGGAGUUUGUGUCAAAGUGAACGAACUCAUGCUUGUCAGUCUUAUCUUUUGUUGUUCACUAUGGUUGUUUAUAAUAUCGUAAAUCGGAAGUUGAAUGUUUCUGUUUUGAAUACUUCUGUGCCUUUGGUUCCUUUUAAUGUUCCUCAAUUAAUUUCCAAUGGUAAAGAGUUUGUGGGCUUGAAUUAUAAGGAGUUGAGGAGGGCUCUGGCGUUUCUGUUGGAAACGCCUCAGGUUUUGACUCCAUUUGGGAUGAUGGAGUUCUUGCAAAUGAUAAUGCCUGUGGCUGUGGCUUUGGAGUUGCAGGGCUCUAUGUUGAAAGUUCAGUUCUUUGGGCUGAUUUAUUCAUUUGAUCCUUUGUUAUGUCAUCUUGUUUUAGUUAUGUAUUCUCAUUUUCCUGAUGCAUUUGAUGGACAAGAGGUAGAGAUUGUCAAGCGAUUGAUGCUCAUUUCCAAGGAAACACAACACUAUUUGGUUUUCCGAUUGCUUUCCCUUCAUUGGUUGUUGGAUUUAUUAAGUAAAUUGAUGUUGAGUAGAGAGGGUAAAAAAUAUAAAUCUGUUGUUGACAUGGGUUUGAGAUUCUAUCCAGCGGUAUUUGAUCCACUGGCUUUGAAAGCAUUGAAGCUUGAUUUGCUUGCUUUCUACUCGAUAUAUCUUGAAGGUUUGAAACUAGAGGGUGGUUCUGGUGAGGAUUGUGAUGCUUCCAAGUCUGUCGUCAAGCUUAUUGAAGAUGGUCUUAUUUCAGUUUCAGCUUUCAAAUGGUUAUCUCCCUGGAGCACUGAAACUGCUGUUGCAUUCCGUGCCUUUCAUAAAUUUUUGAUAGGUGCUUCAUCUCAUUCUGACACUGAUCCUUCCCCAACUAGAACCCUGAUGAACUCCGUUAUCUUCCAUACACUGCAGGGGAUGCUGGUGGGUUUGACAUUGGAUAUUCUAAGGUUGGUCCCUGUUGUUGUUUCUUUCAUUGACCGUUUAUUAAGCUGCCAAAAGCAUUGUUGGUUGGGAGAGCGCCUACUUCAGUCGGUUGACAAGUAUUUGCUUCCAAAAGUCAAAAUAGAUUACCAAUUGGUUUCUUACUUCCCAGUAUUUGAUAGAAUAGCAGAAAAUAAUUCAAUACCUCCUUCGACAUUGCUAGACCUACUUACCAAGUUUAUGGUUUUCCUUGUUGAGAAACAUGGUCCCAAUACUGGACUGAAAUCGUGGUCGCAGGGAAGUAAAGUCCUUGGCAUUUGCCGAACUAUGCUGAUGCACCAUCAUAGCUCUAGAUUGUUCCUUGGAUUAUCUCGCCUUCUUGCAUUCACUUGUCUAUACUUCCCUGAUUUGGAGGUUCGAGACAAUGCAAGGGUCUACAUGCGAAUGCUAAUCUGCAUACCAGGAAUGAAGCUUAAAGGCAUACUGAAUUUUGGGGAGCAAUUACUUGGCAUUUCACCUUCUACGCAUUCUAGUUCUUUCUUCAAUGUUCCAUCUCCUCGACAUUAUCAGAAUUUCAAGAAAUCUAGGGGCAUCUCAUCCUGCAUUCAUCUUGAGCGAAUGAUACCAUUGCUUGUUAAGCAAUGCUGGUCUUUGUCUUUGCCACCUUCGGAUAUUGGGUCUAGCAAACCUAGUCAUUUAGAGAGCAUUAUGGAUAGUGAACCUCAGGUUGAUUUAAGGGAGCUAGAUGUUAGUACAAGUUUUCUAGCAACCUCAGAAAUUGAAAGAACUAAUCAGUUGCAAGAGCCAUUACGUGUAAUGGAUUCAAAGAUUUCACAGAUCUUAGGGGUAUUAAGGAGUCACUUCUCAUGUAUUCCUGAUUUUAGGCAUAUGCCAGGGAUCAAGGUUAACAUAUCCUGCAUUCUGAGAUUUGAAUCUGAGCCUUUCAAUCACUUGUUUGGGGCUUCCUUCCUUACUAGUCCAGCAGAUGGAGUAGAUGCCCUUCCUUCCCUAUAUGCAAUUGUGCUCAAAUUUUCAUCCUCGGCACCAUAUGGGUCCAUUCCAUCUUAUCAUAUACCCUUCCUUCUUGGUGAACCCUCCAGGAACAAUCACAUCUCUUGCCCAUCAGUUUCACCCGACAUUGUUUCUGUGGAAAAUGACUUUGAAGAAGAGGAAAAUUAUAGAGCUCCUGUCACAAUUGAUUUGGAACCACGGGAACCUACACCUGGUCUUGUUGAUGCUUUCAUUGAAGCAAAUGUUGAAAAUGGCCAGAUAAUCCAUGGUCAGCUUCAAGGUAUUACAUUAGGUAUAGAGGACAUGUUUCUCAAGGCCAUUGUCCCAUCUGACAUCUCAGAACAUGCAGUAGCUGCAUAUUAUUCAGGAUUAUUUGAUGCUCUUUGGGAGGCUUGUGGACCUUCUGCUAACAUUGGGCGGGAGACAUUCCCAUUAAAAGGAGGCAAGGGUGUUGCAGCAAUCAAUGGGACCCGAUCGGUCAAGCUACUUGAAGUUCCUGCAGACUCUUUGAUUCGUGCAAUUGAACAGCAUUUGGCAUCCUUUGUUGUUCGUGUGAUUGGAGAACAUCUCGUUAACAUGGUGAAGGACAGGGGAAUCAUCAAAGACAUCAUAUGGAAGGAUGCUGCAUCAGAUUCUUUUUUUGUUAGUACUGCCUCCUCACUUACUGGUUUAGAUCAAGGUCCACUUCAUCUGACAUAUUUUAAUGAUGGAGAAGAGAGAGAAACUCAGGUAAAUGGCUAUAAAAGAAGGAUGGGUUGCAUUCUUUUGUUGAUAUUUCUUCCACCAAGGUUCCAUCUUCUUUUCCAAAUGGAAGUCUCUGAUAUUUCAACCUUGGUUCGAAUUAGAACCGAUCACUGGCCAUGCUUAGCAUAUGUUGAUGAUUAUUUGGAGGCUUUAUUUUUGACAUAGAGGUACAUCUCUUAACUUGUAUGAUUACAUCUCUUAACAUGGGGUCUCAUUCCAAACUUCCUUUUUUGUAGCUUCUGUAAAAUGAUUGGCAUUUUGUUGUAAUUCUUUCUCCAGAUUAUUUUUGCACAAAAGGAGGGUAAUUUUUUGACACCUCAAAAAUAAACUGUUGUGUAAAUACCCCCUGCAAGUGAGUCCCUCCCUUUUUGUAUUCUUUCAAUGUGUCCAAAAUCUAAGAAAUGCUUUUAAUUUUUGGCCAUCUUCAUUUUCUGUAGCAAACUUGGAAGUUUAUAGUUUAUUUGUAAAGCUAGUUCAUUGUAUUAUAUUAUUUAUGUAUUCAUUGAUUAGUCAUUAUGAUUGUUA
rnacentral:misc_RNA from 1 species